GCCGGGCAUGGUGGCACAUGCCUGUAGUCCUACUUACUCAGGAGGCUGAGGCAGGAGGAUCACUUGAGCCCAGGAGAUCAAGGCUACAGUGAGCCAUGAUUGCACCACUGCACUCCAGCCUGGGUGACAGAGUGAGAUCCUGUCUCAA
rnacentral:SRP_RNA from 1 species